AACGCACAUUGCGCCCUUUGGUAUUCCGAAGGGCAUGCCUGUUCGAGCGUCAUUAUCAACCCUCAAGCCCGGCUUGUCAUUGAACCCUGUCGUUAGAAGACGGGUUUGAAAGAUAAUGGCGGUGUCGAGUCGACCCGGGACGCAACGAGCUCUAUAGCACGCGUCUUGGUGGUCGGCCGGCCCGGUCCUUAACCCUCAUACUUCUAUGGUUGACCUCGGAUCAGGUAGGAUUACCCGCUGAACUUAA
rnacentral:misc_RNA from 1 species